UCACCGGAAGCAUUGUAUGAUC
rnacentral:miRNA from 1 species